UGGAAAUGAUGAAAAUGUAAUCGACCUGAUGUGAUGAAAAUCACAAUGAAAGUUUCUCAAGAUAGUCAAGUACUGAUCCAG